CUGCAAAGAGCGAUUUGUUCGGAUCGGAGACCUGCUGAAUCAGGAACAGCUUGAUCUAGCGUUACUGCAGGAGGUCUGGUGUGAAAGAGACUUUCUGUUUUUAAAGAAGAAGCUUAGCAGCAUCUAUCCGUAUUCCCAUUAUUUUAAAAGUGGAUUUAUAGGGAGCGGAUUGGCCGUGUUUUCCAGACAUCAAAUCCAUGAUGCCUUUCUGUACAGAUACUCAUUAAAUGGAUAUCCAU